rnacentral:lncRNA from 1 species
AUGCACUCCACUUCACUCUUUGAUCUAACAAGGCCCAGGGUGAGUUCCUCCCUGUCUGAUCUUACAAGGCCCAGGGUGACUUCCUCCCUGUCUGAUCUUACAAGGCCCAGGGGGACUUCCUCCCUGUCUGAUCUUACAAGGCCCAGGGUGACUUCCUCCCUGUCUGAUCUUACAAGGCCCAGGUUGAGUUCCUCUCUGUCUGAUCUUACAAGGCCCAGGGGGACUUCCUCCCUGUCUGAUCUUACAAGGCCCAGGGGGACUUCCUCCCUGUCUGAUCUUACAAGGCCCAGGGGGACUUCCUCCAUGUCUGAUCUUUCAAGGCCCAGGGGGACUUCCUCCCUGUCUGAUCUUACAAGGCCCAGGGUGAGUUCCUCCCUGUCUGAUCUUACAAGGCCCAGGGUGACUUCCUCCCUGUCUGAUCUUUCAAGGGCCACGGUUACUUCCUCCCUGUCUGAUCUUACAAGGCCCAGGGGGACUUCCUCCAUGUCUGAUCUUUCAAGGCCCAGGGGGACUUCCUCCAUGUCUGAUCUUUCAAGGCCCAGGGGGACUUCCUCCCUGUCUGAUCUUACAAGGCCCAGGGGGACUUCCUCCCUGUCUGAUCUUACAAGGCCCAGGGGGACUUCCUCCCUGUCUGAUCUUUCAAGGCCCAGGGGGACUUCCUCCCUGUCUGAUCUUACAAGGCCCAGGGGGACUUCCUCCAUGUCUGAUCUUUCAAGGCCAUGGGGGACUUCCUCCCUGUCUGAUCUUACAAGGCCCAGGGGGACUUCCUCCAUGUCUGAUCUUUCAAGGCCCAGGGGGACUUCCUCCCUGUCUGAUCUUACAAGGCCCAGGGGGACUUCCUCCCUGUCUGAUCUUACAAGGCCCAGGGGGACUUCCUCCAUGUCUGAUCUUUCAAGGCCCAGGGGGACUUCCUCCCUGUCUGAUCUUACAAGGCCCAGGGUGAGUUCCUCCCUGUCUGAUCUUUCAAGGCCCAGGGUGACUUCCUCCCUGUCUGAUCUUUCAAGGGCCACGGUUACUUCCUCCCUGUCUGAUCUUACAAGGCCCAGGCCCAGGGUGAGUUCCUCCCUGCCUCUCUUCAGGCUUUUAUCUGAUGACUCUUUCUGA